rnacentral:rRNA from 1 species
GAUGAACGCUGGCGGCGUGCCUAAUACAUGCAAGUCGAGCGAACAGACGAGGAGCUUGCUCCUUUGACGUUAGCGGCGGACGGGUGAGUAACACGUGGGUAACCUACCUAUAAGACUGGGAUAACUUCGGGAAACCGGAGCUAAUACCGGAUAAUAUUUCGAACCGCAUGGUUCGAUAGUGAAAGAUGGCUUUGCUAUCACUUAUAGAUGGACCUGCGCCGUAUUAGCUAGUUGGUAAGGUAACGGCUUACCAAGGCAACGAUACGUAGCCGACCUGAGAGGGUGAUCGGCCACACUGGAACUGAGAAACGGUCCAGACUCCUACGGGAGGCAGCAGUAGGGAAUCUUCCGCAAUGGGCGAAAGCCUGACGGAGCAACGCCGCGUGAGUGAUGAAGGUCUUCGGAUCGUAAAACUCUGUUAUUAGGGAAGAACAAACGUGUAAGUAACUGUGCACGUCUUGACGGUACCUAAUCAGAAAGCCACGGCUAACUACGUGCCAGCAGCCGCCGUAA